UCUGGCCAUACCACCCUGAACUCGCCCUAUCUCGUCUGAUCUCGGAAGCUAAGCAGGGUCGGGCCUGGUUAGUACUUGGAUGGGAAAUGGGAAGUGUGCCUAAAGCA
rnacentral:rRNA from 1 species